UACAGAGGGUGCAAGCGUUAAUCGGAUUUAUUGGGCGUAAAGCGCUCGCAGGUGGUUCGAUGCGUCGUGCGUGAAAGACCCCGGCUCAACUGGGGGGUGUCGUGCGAUACGGUCGGACUGGAGGCCAGUAGGGGGAUGCGGAAUUCCGGGUGUAGUGGUGGAAUGCGUAGAGAUCCGGAGGAACACCAGCGGCGAAGGCGGCAUCCUGGACUGGUCCUGACACUCAUGAGCGAAAGCGUGGGGAGCGAUCCGG
rnacentral:rRNA from 1 species